AUUGAACGCUGGCGGAAUGCUUUACACAUGCAAGUCGAACGGCAACACGGGGGCAACCCUGGUGGCGAGUGGCGAACGGGUGAGUAAUACAUCGGAACGUGCCCAAUCGUGGGGGAUAACGUAGCGAAAGCUACGCUAAUACCGCAUACGAUCUACGGAUGAAAGCGGGGGAUCGCAAGACCUCGCGCGAAUGGAGCGGCCGAUGGCAGAUUAGGUAGUUGGUGGGGUAAAGGCUCACCAAGCCAACGAUCUGUAGCUGGUCUGAGAGGACGACCAGCCACACUGGGACUGAGACACGGCCCAGACUCCUACGGGAGGCAGCAGUGGGGAAUUUUGGACAAUGGGCGAAAGCCUGAUCCAGCCAUUCCGCGUGCAGGAUGAAGGCCUUCGGGUUGUAAACUGCUUUUGGACGGAACGAAAACCAACUUUCUAAUACAAGGUAGGUCAUGACGGUACCGUCAGAAUAAG
rnacentral:rRNA from 1 species